GCGUUGUUUCGGGUGACAGACAGACAGACAGACAGACACACACACAAGUAGACUGACUGCUACAGACGAGCACGGAAUGGCGCCCGCACGGAGGCAGGGGGGAUGCUUAGUGGCCUUCUUGACAGUCCUGCUGGCCUGCAGCGGCGCCCUCACCCAGGGUCUGCGAGAGGGUGAGACUUGCUCUCCGGCUACCCCCGGAGGACUAGCCCCGCCGGACUUCUUCACGGUCUUCGAGAAUGCCUACACCUAAUCCUGGAGAUGACCGAAGUGAAGUCUAACAUCACUUACUAUGUGGAAGAGGUGCGAGAGCGGCGGAAUUACCACGGCUUGACGAGUGAUACCGCAGCAGUGUACAUACGAGACAACGGUUCAGAAAUCAUUUACCAUUACUACCCGGAGACAGACACCUUCGUCGAACAGAUCAAUAACCAGUGUCGGGACUCGGGGUAAACUUGUGGCCUUUA